GCCAAAGUCAGAGAGGCAAUUUUUGCUUUUAUUGAAGAGAAUGGCAAAGCCGUAAAUCUUAUACCUUGUUACAACCACGGCCUGAGGAGUAUAUUUUAAUAGAAUCUUUAGUGGGAGCAGAUCACCAUUUUCGCAAAUCUACUCAUUACUUUGAUACUUUUAUUUCAUAACUUUUCUCAAUUGAUAUCCCUUUAGGGACUUAUUUUUAGAUGUUAUAUAUUUUUGUUCUCUACUACGUCUCUCUUGGCCCAAAAUUGCGUAAUGGAGCUGACGAGUCUCUAAUUUAGUUUUCUUCCUUGAAAAUGAUGGGUUUUAGCUGGUUUUCCUAUAAGUAGGUACUGGUUUUUCGCAGGGCCUACCCAAUAGACUAUGAUCUUUGACUUUCCAUAUGUGAAGAAUAUAAAAUGAUUUAAGGAUUAGGAUAUCCAAGAGCAUUUUAAUGGAGUCCGAAAAUACGGACAACUUCGAACCUUGGACUUCUUUCCAAUCAACACUGACUGGUUGAAUCUCAAGAUUAAGAAUUUGGGCAAUGAUUACAAUUUCAAUAUCAAAAGCCCAUCUUUUAAUAUGCAAGGAAGGGAAGAUUACUCUGGCUAAUCUCCUUGAGAAGAGCUUAAACCCACAUUGAGUAUCAUUUAAAUUUGUAUUGAUAAUAACUUUCAUAAUCUUAUGGAAAGCUGUAUUCAAAAUCUGACGAUACCAAGCUCUCUCAAUAUUAGAAACGUUGUCUUCCGAUAAAGCAUUUAUAUUUCUAGACCCAAAAAUAAUCUGUUGUUGUUCGUCUUUACUUAAAAUGAUGUCCUCCAUUUUAGAGAAGCAAUCAAUUUUAGUUGCUCCAUCUGCAUCUGCCAUUAAUAUAUAUUUCCCGAGGCUUGCCAUAACCCCAAUUUUGACAGCAAAUCCUUUUCCUUUGUUUACAAGACUAGAUAAUAAACGCAUUCUGCCUCCAAUUAUUUCUUUAUUUUGGAUUUUUUGUCUCCAAAAAUCCUCACAAAUUUUCAAGGUAUCAUCACUUCCACCAUCAUUCACCAAGAUUAUUUCAUAUAUAAACUUUGGAUCCUCUCUAUUCCUACUCUCCAUAUAAUAGACCAUUGAGCUUAAAUUCUUUAAAAUUCGAUCCUCUUCAUUAAAAGCUGGAAUUACUAUCGAUAAAUACAAUUCUGAAUCCUUCAAUAUAUUUCCACUAAUAGUAUUCCAACUUUCCUUAUCUGCCUCUUUGCUAAUUUCAUAAUUUUGACUAU
rnacentral:antisense_RNA from 1 species